UAGCUCAGUGGGAGAGCAAGUGCUUACCAUGCAUGAGGCCCUGGGUUCAAUCCCCAG
rnacentral:tRNA from 1 species